rnacentral:rRNA from 1 species
AACGAACGCUGGCGGCAUGCCUAACACAUGCAAGUCGAACGAGACCUCCGGGUUUGGUGGCUAACGGGUGCGUAACCGGUUGGAACCUGCCCUAGUGUUCUGAAUAACUCCCUGAAAUGGCUUCUAAUACCGGAUAAUGUUAUCGGACCAAAGAUGUAUCGCCUUUGGGUGGGCCGGCGUUGGUUUAGCUAGUUGGUAGGGUAAAAGCCUACCAAGGCGUCGAUCCAUAGCUGGUCUGAGAGGGUGAUCAGCCGCACUGGGACUGAGACCCGGCCCAGACUGGUAGGGGAGGCAGGGAUGGGGGAUAUUGGACAGGGGGCGAGAGGCUGAUCCGGCGAUGCCGCGAGAGUGAUGAAGGGCUUAGGGUUGUAAAGCUCUUUUACCCGGGAUGAUAGUGACAGUACCGGGAGAAUAAGCUCCGGCUAACUACGUG